UUGGAUGAUGAGAAACAAAA
rnacentral:snRNA from 1 species